GACGUUGGACGACGACCAGCUGAUCUCGCACAUCCUCGUCGGUCUCGACAUGGAGUAUCAACCGCUGGUCUCGGCGCUCGAUGCUCGCACCAUCCCUGUCUCGCUCGAUGAGCUCUUUGCUCAGAUGAGAAAUUUUGACC
rfam:Triticum aestivum genome assembly, contig: Triticum_aestivum_CS42_TGACv1_scaffold_591955_7BS